rnacentral:lncRNA from 1 species
CGAAGAAUAACAUUCCUUCUGCAGCUAAAUGGCUGCUGUGAGACAGCAGAUCCUAUCUCAGCACACAGAAACAAACCUGCUGUGGUAAGGUUAUCCAGUCACCAGAGGUGACCUUUGAAAGUCAGGAGGCAGAAUAGAAAAGCCCUGCAACUACAGAGCCAUUUCUGUGGCUGCAAAUGAACCCAGGUCCAGGGUCAAGGCCAAGGAAUUCUAUUGUAUUCUUUGGAGUGUGAUGCGAAGCUCUGAAGGACAAACCUCAAAGAACUCCAUCUAGGGGGUGUGGGACUGAGCCUGAACCAAAGCCGCUCCAUUCUGAAGUCCCCUGCAGGAUUGGGAGGAGAGCACAUCCUCCAUGGCUCCCAGCUCCCUGCUGAGCUCAGAAGGGAGGGGAAGGUACACUGGCUUCUGAAUCUCACCAGGAUCUUGGCUGAGGGGCUUGCCUGGUUGUUCUUGCCUUUUUAUUCACUUGCUGUUCUUGGGAAAAGAAAAUUUUGAAGAAGAAAAAAAAAAUUCAUGAUUGUGUUUCAAAACCAAGGUGGCUGCAAAAAUGAGAGAAAUUGAACUCUCAUAGGGGGAAACUCAGUUCUAAGAAGUUUUCAACUUUUCAAUGUAAUUCUGAGAUCUAGAAUUGAAGCAAUUGGAUUAGAACUUCAGAGAGAUGGAUUUUUGUUCAAUAUAACCUGAAGGAAAUACUGAGAAGUGAAAUUGGCUGCUCCGAUCCUUCCAAGCAUUCUGCCAAGGCUAACACGCCCAUUUCAGAGACAGAGGAGCAAAGGUGUUGUUGAGCUUUAAGGACCAGAGUUUCUGAUCCACUCUUGAGAUGUCUC